rnacentral:rRNA from 1 species
AUGGCAUCAUUCACAUGUUUUGCAGCUCCUCCUCAACAUAUAGCUCAUGGAGUUCAACUAGAAUUUCCACUUUACAAUUAUAAGCAUCCACAUCUAAAGGAGAAAGCUCCUCUAAACUUUCUAGGACCAGCAACUCCUCCUCAAGCUCUUUCCUUCUUUGAGUUCAGGCAUGAUCUCAUGAGGGUGUUCGACCGUUUCGACUCCCUCUACUCAACAAAUCUGCAUUGGCUCAACUCGGCAAAUAUCAUGCUUCUGCCGAAGAAGGAAGGGGCAGAGAGGAGAUUGGAUUGCGGAUCUAUUAUGUUCCUCUUCUUCGAGAAUCAUGUUGAAUGGGAUGGUUGGCACCCCCAUCAAGCACGGUCGUGGGUUACGACAAGGGGACCCCCUCCCCCUCUUUUUUUCGUCAUCGCUAUUGACCCAAUACAACAAAUCCUCGAUGUGGCCACGAGGAAAGGGCUGCUCCAUAAGAUUAGAGGAAGGAGUGUCAUGGUGCGGAUAUCUCUCUAUGCGGACGACGCAGCAGUGUUCAUGGCCCCGGCUUGGGCACCACCGAAAGUGAUUUUUUUGCUUGGUUUGCGCUUCAGGACAAAAUUUGGACCGCCGGCCGGUUGGCCAAGCGAGGGUGGCCAAACUGUGGUCCUUGUCCCUUGUGCAAGGGAGUGCAGGAAUCAUUUGAUGGACUUAGUUGAGGCCUGGUGGGUGAGUACAUGCGACGUCGGCACCAUCGACAGGAAGGCCAAGGCGUCGAUUGCCAUGCUCGUGUCAUGGGUAAUCUGGAACGAGAGAAACACAAGAGUAUUCCGACACAAGAGAGCUCCUCCGCCGAUUCUGCUCAACACCAUAGUGACCGAGGCAAGUCUUUGGGUCACUGCUGGCCCCGUGACCCGGCCUCUCCAUAUUUUCCAUAUGAUGUGCGUGUGCGGAUCUGGCACUGGUGUGCUUGUCGUCGUCAACGCUUCCAAGACAAGAAAAUGCUGCAAGAAAGAAAGAGUGAUGUGGCCGUCAACAAAGACUAAUGGACAAACUGCCCUUAUCACCUUUCUGCAUUUGGGACUGUCGGUGGACGCGAGAGGGUGGUGCUGCUGCAUUGACAACCCAUGGAAGUCAGUCAAGCCUGCAGUGCUGGGUGGUGAUGCUGCAGGUUUUCUCCUCCGUUCUAUACCACGAUAUUUCUUUGGAGAGAGAGAGAGAGUAGGGAACCCAUAUAAUCAUCCUGCUAGCCCCAUCUGCUCCAGCAUUUGUACGUGUCGUUAUAGAUGGCUCGUGCUCAUGCAGUCAAGUCAUAACCCUGAACUUGAAAGUGAAGUGAGGCCACAGGACACACUUUCAAGGAAAUCCAUCUACCAGUAUUAUGCAAAUCUUGCCGGGGGAGGCAGGCCGCCCACAUGCAUGUGUUGUAUUCUUGUGCUCUCAAGUGAUUGUGCUUUUGGCGGCUUUCGGCUGCCGGCCGGAGCCCACACCACACAAGGCAGCAUGUGCACCUUCACCUACACAUACGUUCUCCUGCACUGGAUUCUUCAGAUAGGGAGAGUGAAGGAGGAUUGA